rnacentral:rRNA from 1 species
UACGUAGGGUGCAAGCGUUGUCCGGAAUUAUUGGGCGUAAAGAGCUCGUAGGCGGUUUGUCGCGUCUGCUGUGAAAACUCGGGGCUUAACUCCGGGCCUGCAGUGGGUACGGGCAGACUAGAGUGCGGUAGGGGAGACUGGAAUUCCUGGUGUAGCGGUGAAAUGCGCAGAUAUCAGGAGGAACACCUAUGGCGAAGGCAGCUCGCUGGGACGGUACUGACGCUGAGACGCGAAAGCGUGGGGAGCGAACAGG